GGUAACCAAGAUGACGUCGCAGCUCAUCUCUUCUCCUGCUUUUCCUCCGUUGUUACGAAGGACACGAUUCAAUGAAACAUUCAAUCGAUGUACUUGUAUUUCUGAGACAGUAAACAACGCUAUAUUAGGGAGGUCAGAGAUGAUUAUCCUUGAGGGUCGUGUGAUUUGUGAGGCCGUAUACCCAAGAUUUCGGACUGCAAGAUUUCUACUAUUCGCAAUGUACUACGUCUUAAAUCUUCAGUAUCCAGAGGCAUGUGGCACAUUGGAUUUUAUUUAGAGACAAUUUGUCGGAUAAACCCUGAAAAAGGCUCGAAGACCAGCAAAGUCAAGGUCGUUAAGAAGACUGGAAAGAAUGUGAAUAAGAAGACUGCUACUGUCAACCCAGAAGUUGCAUCCCUCCUAAAGAACCUCAUCCGUUUCGAAUGGGAUUUUGUCUAGACCUGGAUUUCCUCUCAGGCCAGAGCAAUCAGAAGCUGGAGUAAGACACUUAAAUUUUUUUCCAACAAUUAGUUUGAUUAAUGUGUUCUUCAUUUCAUGCCAGGUUUUUAAAAUAUGUUGUGCCGUGCUGGCAGUUUUUUCUUCUUGUUGUAAGUUUGUUUUUAGCUCCUUGAGUUGCACUUUUUUCUGUGAUUUCUGUUUUUAACUCUUUCCCGCCAUUGACAAGUUUUUAUAGCAGUCCGUAUUUCCGCUAUUAUAGCGCUCAUACCCAACUUAUACAACCUGGAAACAACCCCUCAGGUCAAACAAUUUAAACUCGGUGUAUGUUUUGAUUAUUGCUCCGGAUUUCUAUCAGAAGUCUUUCACAAAAUCGCCAUUAUCUCAGCUUUUUGCUCAAAAUAUGGUCUUUUUGAAGAAACCUACACAUAUUUGAGAGGUGGUAAAAAAGAACUAAUUAAAGGUAGGGUAACAGAUUUGAUCCUGAAACAUUUUUAGUUAUGCUGGUUAAAAGUCUCCUCACAUCCUGAUAGCAAUCACUGUGUUAAGUUGUUUAAAUGUAUUUGUAAAAAUUUAUGUCAUCUGUGAAAGGCGUAGGACCAAAAAAUGUUCAACAAAUCAUAGAUUUCGGUCCGAACGGACGUUUCCUUUUAUGUCCCUCAUACGUAAGCGUAAUUUGAAUUCCCACCGCGCAGCGAGUCCACGCAGAUACCAUACGUCAUCGGCGCGUUCACGUGCGCUCUGUCUGUAAACAGCGAGAACAGCAACAACUUUUCUGCUGAAUUGACAACCUACACAGGAGCAACAAAACUAAAUGCAUCUUUUAUAACAACAACAGCAAAAACUGCCUGGAUCAGCAAGAGCAAAAACCCAAAUUAACAUCAGUAACUUUAGUGCUUUACCACGAGAUGCAAACAGCUACAGGAGGCAAAGGGUCUGAAAGGGUCGUUGCA